CCACUUGGAAAUCUGUGAAGGCAAUGGGAAACGUGAACUGUAAAUAUUUUAGGUACCGACGAAGAAACUCUUAAGCUAUAUAUAUGGCACCUGCAAGGAUGGCGGUACUAAAUAUGCUGAAAUGAUGUUUAAAGUGGACUGCAUGCUCCCAUAAUUUCCCUCCUGAAGCAGACACCAUUUGGUUCAAAAGCAGAGCAUUGAAAAAAAAAAAAUAACCAAGGAAGAGAGAGAAAAACCGACUGAUGAAUACAAUGGAAUGAAAUUGGGAAUAAAUGUGGAGGCUGUGAUGGAAAGUAAAAGGACACUAGAGUUGGAAAUGCAAAUCUGGAUCUGGGAUCAGUAUCAUGUUAGGGGCUGAACUGGAGCACCAUACUUCUGGAACAAGGCGGUCGUUGCUGCUUAAAACUGCUAUCUGAGAGAUGUGCUUCCCAUUCUGAGGAUACUGGAAAUGAGUGAGUCAUUGUACCUUAAAAGAAGACACAGCACAGGUUUUAUUCAGAAAUUUCUUAAUGCUACUUCUUAGAUGAUUUCUGAAUAAUGUCUUCUGUGUGAAGGACACUUUUUUAUCGCUUAUGUAGCACCAUUUCACUAAACAGUCUCCUGAAUGUCACUGUCACACAAUUCUACACAAUUCUGGGCUGCAGUGACCUGAAAUUUCUGGGUCUGAGAGUCAGACUUUGCAAUAGUAUAUAACAGCUGUUUCCUCUUCAGAAACGAUUACAUGAUUUUUAGUAUUUAGCUGGGGAUAGUUUUCAACAAGCAGCUAGUAUGUUUGCUCUG